AGAGUUUGAUCAUGGCUCAGGACGAACGCUGGCGGCGUGCUUAACACAUGCAAGUCGAACGAGGCGCUUGCGCCUAGUGGCGAACGGGUGAGUAACACGUGAGCAACCUGCCCUUGGCUCUGGGAUAGCCUCCGGAAACGGGGAUUAAUACCGGACAUGACCUUCUCCUGCAUGGGGGAGGGUGGAAAGUUUUUCGGCCAGGGAGGGGCUCGCGGCCUAUCAGCUUGUUGGGGGGGUAACGGCCCACCAAGGCGACGACGGGUAGCCGGCCUGAGAGGGCGACCGGCCACACUGGGACUGAGACACGGCCCAGACUCCUACGGGAGGCAGCAGUGGGGAAUAUUGCACAAUGGGGGAAACCCUGAUGCAGCGACGCCGCGUGCGGGAUGAAGGCCUUCGGGUUGUAAACCGCUUUCAGCAGGGGCGAAUUCAGACGGUACCUGCAGAAGAAGCGCCGGCUAACUACGUGCCAGCAGCCGCGGUAAUACGUAGGGCGCAAGCGUUGUCCGGAAUUAUUGGGCGUAAAGAGCUCGUAGGCGGCCUGUUGCGUCCGCUGUGAAAUCCCAGGGCUUAACCCUGGGCCUGCAGUGGAUACGGGCAGGCUGGAGGCAGGCAGGGGAGAACGGAAUUCCCGGUGUAGCGGUGAAAUGCGCAGAUAUCGGGAGGAACACCGGUGGCGAAGGCGGUUCUCUGGGCCUGUUCUGACGCUGAGGAGCGAAAGCGUGGGGAGCAAACAGGAUUAGAUACCCUAGUAGUCC
rnacentral:rRNA from 1 species